CUGCCAUCUACAACAAGAUAACCCUUAGCAACUUGUAAUGCUGUAGUUGUAGAUCAAUCAAACAAAGUUACAAAUUCAAACAACAACAAUUGCUUACUAAAAACAAAUCACUGUCAUUUUAAGCCAGGUUCAUAAAGCCAUCUUUUAUUGCUACAAACACUUUAUCUGACAUCAUUGAGAAAUGGCAAACUUGUGAUUCAAAUAUGGACAACUUUGUGUAAAGCUUAAGCACGAUGGAUAUCAGACAUUUUA